rnacentral:rRNA from 1 species
CCGGAGAAUGUUAUCACGGGAGACACACGGCGGGUGCUAACGUCCGUCGUGAAGAGGGAAACAACCCAGACCGCCAGCUAAGGUCCCAAAGUCAUGGUUAAGUGGGAAACGAUGUGGGAAGGCCCAGACAGCCAGGAUGUUGGCUUAGAAGCAGCCAUCAUUUAAAGAAAGCGUAAUAGCUCACUGGUCGAGUCGGCCUGCGCGGAAGAUGUAACGGGGCUAAACCAUGCACCGAAGCUGCGGCAGCGAACGUAUCACUUAAAGCGAUUCAGCGGGUUACGAUUGACGGAGCGAAGCGACGUCAAAGCGUAUACAAAGUCGAGUCGGUUUAAGGAUACGUUCGUUGGGUAGGGGAGCGUUCUGUAAGCCUGYGAAGGUGUGUCGUGAGGCAUGCUGGAGGUAUCAGAAGUGCGAAUGCUGACAUAAGUAACGAUAAAGCGGGUGAAAAGCCCGCUCGCCGGAAGACCAAGGGUUCCUGUCCAACGUUAAUCGGGGCAGGGUGAGUCGACCCCUAAGGCGAGGCCGAAAGGCGUAGUCGAUGGGAAACGGGUUAAUAUUCCCGUACUUGGUGUUACUGCGAAGGGGGGACGGAGAAGGCUAUGUUGGCCGGGCGACGGUUGUCCCG